ACAGGCCUAACACAUGCAAGUCGAGGGGCAGCGGGGAACAAGCUUGCUUGUUCCGCCGGCGACCGGCGCACGGGUGCGUAACGCGUAUCGAAUCUGCCCCAUACCCGGGAAUAGCCUUGCGAAAGUAAGAUUAAUGCCCGAUGUUCUCCGGAUUCCGCAUGUUAUCCGGAGCAAAGAUUCAUCGGUAUGGGAUGACGAUGCGUAGCAUUAGGUAGUAGGCGGGGUAACGGCCCACCUAGCCGACGAUGCUUAGGGGUUCUGAGAGGAAGGUCCCCCACACUGGAACUGAGACACGGUCCAGACUCCUACGGGAGGCAGCAGUGAGGAAUAUUGGUCAAUGGCCGAGAGGCUGAACCAGCCAAGUAGCGUGCAGGAUGACGGCCCUCCGGGUUGUAAACUGCUUUUAGUUGGGAAUAAAAGGCGGGACGCGUCCCGCGUAUUGUAUGUACCAUCAGAAAAAGGACCGGCUAAUUCCGUGCCAGCAGCCGCGGUAAUACGGAAGGUCCGGGCGUUAUCCGGAUUUAUUGGGUUUAAAGGGAGCGUAGGCGGGCUGGAAAGUCAGUUGUGAAAGUUCGGGGCUCAACCUCGGAAUUGCAGUUGAAACUGUCAGUCUUGGGUUCACGCAGGGGCGCUGGAAUUCAUGGUGUAGCGGUGAAAUGCUUAGAUAUCAUGAAGAACUCCGAUCGCGAAGGCA
rnacentral:rRNA from 1 species